GACGUCUUAAUCGAAUAUGAUAAUAGAUUAAUGGUAGGAAUGAACGGUGCUACAAGAAAAUAAUACCCAAAGUUUACAUUAAUAUUAGUCUUAUAUCUUGAUCCAACAAUAUGCUCUCUCUCUACUUUAGAAGUACCGUAUGCUUAACAAAUAGAUUAUAAUAUCUUAUGACUACCAGAAAACACUGAAAUACCCUUACAACCUGUGGGUUUUUUCACGAUACAAAAUACCAUGUCCUUCACCAAUAAUACCCACAGAGAGAGAGAGAGAGAGAGAGAGAGAGAGCUUCCUUUUCUUGUUCCAAUACGAUUUCACGAACUCAUCCACAUCUUGUUUAUAUUCUUCAUUUAAACCACUGCAAUAUUCUCACAUUGAAAACUGUUUAAAAAAAUCAUAUAUUAAUGUUCUUUAAUCAUAUCAGAUACUAAAACAUAUCACAAAAUUGGAAUAACAAAACAUAUAUCACAAACUUAAGAAGACUUUAACCUUCAGUGAAUAUAGUGUGUCAAGAGAAAAUGACACACUUUAUGGGAUGACUAAGGAAAACAUAAGUACAUAACAUGAUUAACUGCCCUAACGCUAUUUGGUUAGGUUAGGUAUGUUAGGAUAUAAGGGAGGGAUUUCUUAGAUGUAUUUUCUUAUUAAUUUAUCCCCCUGCUGUUAACUUUUAAGAUCUUCAACCUUUUCUCUCAAAUUCUUGCUUCAUUAAGUAUAGAUGUUAACUAUAGCUUAGUUUUUACUUCAUAUAUAACCUCUGACCUUUGGUAGCAUGGCUCAAGGGUUAGGACACAGGGGUACUGUAAUUCUGGUAUCAAGCUAUGGACAAGAAUGAAGGUAAAUACCGAAGGAAAAUAAUACCCCUAAUCAUACAAAUAAAAUGGAUUGUUAAAAUGAAAUUAGAUUCCAGUAGCACUCAACUACAGGAUCAACUCCCUGGCUUUACCCAUUUGGUACUGUUAAUUAGGUACACUUUUCACUUACACCAAUACUGGGUGUACAUUUACAAGAACACACCACCUUAUACUCUCACAUACAGCACCCUUGAGCACCAUUAAUGCCAGUUAUCUUAGAACCUUAGUUCUCAAUAGUACAGGACUCAGUAACAGCACCAAAACUAAUACAUUAAAACACAGGAUUAGUUGCUUCUGUACGCUACUGUGAUACAUUUGCCGAUAUCCAUAUAGUAAUUACACAGCCAAAUUCUAGCCUUACUGAGUGGUGGACUCCUCCAUAACAAUGAUGGGGGCUGGCGGUGUUUGCUCGGCCUGUGAGAUCAGCCGGCUGGACAAUGAACGCGUCUGGCGAACGUCUGGGCAGUUGACUGAGCUCCAGGGUAGAUGACUGGAGUAUACAACGGAGAGCAGCUUCUGGAACACUCACCCCGAGACUUCCUCCCUGUUGAGUCCAAACUACAGGAGCCAUCCAUCACAGUUAAGUGUGUCCUGGAGGCCAUCACCACCAUCUUCCAGCAGGAGAAAUUUUCAUGAAAUAUAAUCCAGACUUAAUUGGUUACUAUAGGGAAUGAGACACUGCAGCUUGCUCUAUUCUUUAUCUUCAGGUUACUUACUAGUACAGUAUAUUGUCUAUUACCUUAUCCAAGAUUUUUCAGUAAUGAAUUCCUUUUAAUGUUACUUUGUCAGUAUAUAAGGAGAGAAUAUUGUACAGGACAGAUGGAAGCACUGUGGUACUGUACCUUGUGAUUUCAAAUUUUUUUUUGUCAUAUAUUAAUUCAUAGUUGGGUUAAGAGAGUCACCAUGUGAGGGUCCAGCUGAGUGCUAAUGAGUUUUCUUAACUUAAUUGGUGUCUGCAGUACAGUACAGUACAGUAUUACAGUACUUUAGAUAUAACUUCUCAACAGAAAAGGAAUAUUUUGUACGGGAUUAGUGAUAAGAGCAGCUGUUAUUCUUAAGACAUAUAAGGUCAGUUGCAGAGGAUAAAUGACAUAAUCAACCAUUUUCACCCCGACAGUCAGUGUGUUAAGGAAUAGGAACAUUUUAAUACAAUGUUUGGCAAUAUUAUCCAUAAUAAAUCAUGUCAGUAUUUAUUACCACUAUACAGUACAGUAUAUUGAUGACUAGAUUAAGGUGAUCAUUUGAAUGUUAUAAUAAAUCAUACAAGUCACAGUGAAUACUUUAUGUUACAAAGGGAAGUUUUAUAUUUUAUUAGGACUACAUCUUUACACGCUAUUCUUAUGUUAACAGUUUUACUUUAGUUUUCUUAUUGUGUUUUUAUUACAGAGCCUUACAUCACACAGACAGUAUUUACCAUCAGUCCACUCAGCUCUAUUACAGACAAAAUAUUACUGUCAAUAUAGCAACUACAGUAGUGUGCUUCUAAGCCUGUAACCUAUGUAUCCUCUUAAAAUAGCAAGUUACUGUAUUGUGUGUGUGUGUGUG